CUCAUGCAACAGAGCCAUGUGGAUAGCAGCUACCAGCCUACUGUGGUGACAUCAGUAGCCAUAACCCCAACCACAGCCAACAAGAAGAGAAUGAAGACCACCACAAAACAAGACAGUGGGCUCCAAGUGGGGCACACACACCCCAGAAGAUAUGCAAGAGGCCACAGACGAUGUGAAGAAUAUAUUAAAACUUCUAACAUUUAUCCAAAAGCACUUAACUUUGUGAUUGUGCCACAUACAGCACACCCCAGCAGAAAUAUACUUCAAGUCACCUUUCUAGAAUUGGUGUUUUUUACUGAUUUAACAAAUGCUGGACACAAAAAUCCAGGUUCUGAUAACAGGUAUACAAGAGUCAUUACUGAAAGAAAUACAGGUACUGUUCUGACCUAAAAACUAUUAAAAUUUAAAUAAAUCCAAAAUUCAGCAUUUUCUGGGUUAAAUUAGUGCACUACUUCAGUAUCUGCAAUUCAAAUAAGUCCUCUGAGAAAUUGGCCUCCAUAACCAGUGACGUGCUGCUGAACUGAACAGAUCUCCAAAAUAUCCUAACAGAUUUCUUUCUUUCAUUGUAGAAUUGUUUCCAUCUGGUGCUUAGAUAUUAAACCUGGAAUAUGUAAAGGCUCUCCCCUCUCACCCUGUUUGACUUCCAAAUGCUGGCAAAUAAUUUGCAUUGUCAAUGAAUUGAGGAUUAAAAUUUUGAACUUAACUGUGUAGUUGUAAAAUGUACAAUUUAAAGCGAUAGAUCUUUGAAGUAG
rnacentral:lncRNA from 1 species